rnacentral:rRNA from 1 species
AAUGCCUAGGAAUCAGCCUGGUAGUGGGGGAUAACGUUCGGAAACGGACGCUAAUACCGCAUACGUCCUACGGGAGAAAGCAGGGGACCUUCGGGCCUUGCGCUAUCAGAUGAGCCUAGGUCGGAUUAGCUAGUUGGUGAGGUAAUGGCUCACCAAGGCGACGAUCCGUAACUGGUCUGAGAGGAUGAUCAGUCACACUGGAACUGAGACACGGUCCAGACUCCUACGGGAGGCAGCAGUGGGGAAUAUUGGACAAUGGGCGAAAGCCUGAUCCAGCCAUGCCGCGUGUGUGAAGAAGGUCUUCGGAUUGUAAAGCACUUUAAGUUGGGAGGAAGGGUUGUAGAUUAAUACUCUGCAAUUUUGACGUUACCGACAGAAUAAGCACCGGCUAACUCUGUGCCAGCAGCCGCGGUAAUACAGAGGGUGCAAGCGUUAAUCGGAAUUACUGGGCGUAAAGCGCGCGUAGGUGGUUUGUUAAGUUGGAUGUGAAAUCCCCGGGCUCAACCUGGGAACUGCAUUCAAAACUGACUGACUAGAGUAUGGUAGAGGGUGGUGGAAUUUCCUGUGUAGCGGUGAAAUGCGUAGAUAUAGGAAGG